rnacentral:rRNA from 1 species
UACGAAGGGGGCUAGCGUUGUUCGGAAUCACUGGGCGUAAAGCGCACGUAGGCGGAUCGUUAAGUCGGGGGUGAAAUCCCAGAGCUCAACUCUGGAACUGCCUUCGAUACUGGCGAUCUUCGAGUCCGGGAGAGGUGAGUGGAACUCCGAGUGUAGAGGUGAAAUUCGUAGAUAUUCGGAAGAACACCAGUGGCGAAGGCGGCUCACUGGCCCGGUACUGACGCUGAGGUGCGAAAGCGUGGGGAGCAAACAGG